rnacentral:tRNA from 2 species
AAUGAAGUGCCUGACAAAAGGGUUAUUUUGAUAGAAUAAAUCAUGUAAAUUUUUACCUUCAUUA